UUUCCGUAGGUGAACCUGCGGAAGGAUCAUUAUUGUAUAACCGAUUUUCGAGGGCUAUCGCUUACCCGAUGUGCCCUCCACGCCCGAUUGCCCUCACACACGUCCAUCCCACCCCGAUGUGCACCGUCGCGGGGGUCCCCCUUUGCCUUGUUCGGAGGGGUGCUUACGUUUUCACUCAAACUUUGUAUACAGUGUAGAAGUUAUUUUUUUUUUUUGCGAUCACGCCAACAAUACAACUUGCAACAACUGAUCUCUUGGCUCUUGCAUCAAGGAAGAACG
rnacentral:misc_RNA from 1 species